AGUUGACUAUCGGUUUGGCUUGUAGUUGAAAAAAGCUGUCUGCCAAAAGGUCUGAAAACUUAUAUAGUGUUGCGCUCCCGCUCGCCGUUGAGCAAACCUGCGGUAAAAUACAAACUUCACGAUUAGAGAUACAUGGGCUUAUUGGUCAUUUUACGGAAUAGCUCUGAUCUACAAGAAAAGUGGUUCGAGGGUUCAAAGGAAUAGAAAACAACAAACACAGAUAGUGCUAGUAUUUAUCAGAGAACAAACUCUAAAUUAACUGCAAAAACUUCCAUUGGUUGUUGUGUUUUGGGGGUCUUCAAUCAGCUCAAAUUGUGUAUGUACAGUAGUUUUUGCCGGAAUGCACUGCGUUUCUCACCC
rnacentral:sRNA from 2 species